GAGAAGAGAGGAGAGAGAGACAGAGAAAGUGAGAGAGAGAGUGAAAGAGGGAGAGAUGGAGUGUGUGUCAUGACAAAAGCUCCUCUGAUAAAGAGUUGUGUUAUAUAAGCAGGAGUUUGAAUAAUGAGGUGUGUGUCAGUGAUGGCGAGCGAGCUGUGUUUAUUCUCAGAGAGGACGCCGGGGGGUUAAGCGAGCUUGUGGUUGCUCCGAGGUCGAGGUUACUCUGUUUGUCAAAAUUGCACUGAUGUGUUUUUUUUUCUUUCCCUUAACUGUUUAUUUUUUAGUUCAUUCAUUGUUUUUUUUAGCGCUUUGUGUGGGAGUUUGUGGGGGAGGAGAGAGUCGCUCGCUGGUUGGGUAGCCGCAGGUAGCCCUCUCACAGGAGGCAUCUGGCCUGGUGG
ensembl:lncRNA